UACGGGGGGGGCAAGCGUUGUUCGGAAUUACUGGGCGUAAAGGGCGCGUAGGCGGCCUGUGCAAGUCAGUUGUGAAAUCUCCGGGCUUAACUCGGAACGGUCAACUGAUACUGCUCGGCUAGAGUGCGGAAGGGGCAACUGGAAUUCUUGGUGUAGCGGUGAAAUGCGUAGAUAUCAAGAGGAACACCUGCGGCGAAGGCGGGUUGCUGGGCCGACACUGACACUGAGGAGCGAAAGCCAGGGGAGCAAACGGG
rnacentral:rRNA from 1 species